rfam:Amborella trichopoda AMTR_V1.0_contig_37365, whole genome shotgun sequence.
CAGAAAUGGGGGUUCCUUUGAGGACAAAGAAGGCAUUUCGGAUUUUCUUUUUGGUGAUUUAAGCAGUCAUCCUUUGAACUGAAGGGAGCCCCUAAAGCUU